rnacentral:lncRNA from 1 species
CACAGAGACCCCAUAGAGCCCGCAUUCUGCCCCACAGAGACCCCAAUGUGCCCUAUAGAGGCCCCAUAGAGCCCCAUAGAGACCCCACUGUGCCCCAUAGUGACCCCAAUGCGCCCCUUAGAUCCCAUAGAGCCCCCAUACAGACCCCAUUGUGCCCCACAGAGACCCCAGAGAGCCCCAUACAGACCCCAUAGUGACCCCAAUGCGCCCCAUAGACCCCACUGUGCCCCAUAGAGACCCCAUAGAGACCCCAAAGAACCCCACAGACCCCCCUUCAGACCCCAUUUUGCCCCACACAGCCCCCCCCGCGCCCCCCACCCUCUCGGCCCCUCCGGAGCCGCCGCAGCAGUUCGGCGUCCGUCAUUCCCCGGUACUGCUCCAUGGCCGUGACGUCAUCGCGGCGCGCCGGCGCAUGGAAGUGACGUCACGAGGGGGGGGAAAAGGGGCGGGAGCGCGUUCGGUUCUCUCAGUUUAUUGGCCGCGCCCCGGCCCCGCCCCCUCCCCGCGGUUACGUCACAAUCACGGCACGAGACAGACGAAGGGGGCGGGGCUUAUAAAUAGGGCGUGGUCGAGAGGGGGUGGGCGGGGCCACGCGAAGGGGCGGAGCAAAAGGGAGCGUGGUUAUAAAUAGGGCGUGGUUGAGAGGGAGUGGGCGGGGCCACGGAAAUGGGGCGGGGGCACAAAGGGGGCGGGGCCACGAGGCACAGCGCUGUGGGGCAGAGCUAUGGGGCUGCCCUAUAGGGGUCCAUGGGGGCUAUGGGGCAGAGCUAUGGGGCAGAGCUAUGGGGCAGGGUA